GGCCUCCCAAUUCUUAUCACAGGCUGUGUUCUUUACACUAACUGUAUAGAAAGAGGAGGUACAGUAAAUGUACUUCAUAUACACCUCAACCCAGUCCCUUUAUGCCUGGUCUGUAUUAUGAAUUGGGGGACAAAA